rnacentral:rRNA from 1 species
AGAUGGCGACCGGCGCACGGGUGAGUAACACGUAUCCAACCUGCCGAUAACUCGGGGAUAGCCUUUCGAAAGAAAGAUUAAUACCCGAUGGUAUAAUCAGACCGCAUGGUUUGAUUAUUAAAGAAUUUCGGUUAUCGAUGGGGAUGCGUUCCAUUAGGCAGUUGGUGAGGUAACGGCCCACCAAACCUUCGAUGGAUAGGGGUUCUGAGAGGAAGGUCCCCCACAUUGGAACUGAGACACGGUCCAA